GUAAUUUAGUAUCUUGUGAAGAGUUGUUUUAUUGGCAAUCAUACCACAUCUUCUUUUUUUUACUUCCUGCUGACAGGUAUCAUAAUGUGUCCCACUUGGCUGACGAUGUCUUUCUGUGGAAGAUUAAGCAUGUAUUUUUCUACAAUGACCUCCUCCCCUACUGGCAACUUUAUGCUAAAGAAAAGAAAGAUGUUACUACAUAAGACUGGUUGACUUUAGCUGUAUUUUUUCUCUUCUUAUAAUAACUUCCUUUUUUAUGUUUUACAGAUAGAAGAAACAAAUGCAGGACAUCAUUCGAAAG
rnacentral:lncRNA from 1 species